rnacentral:rRNA from 1 species
CCUACGGGAGGCAGCAGUGAGGAAUAUUGGUCAAUGGGCGAGAGCCUGAACCAGCCAAGUCGCGGGAGGGAGUACUGCCCUAUGGGUUGUAAACCUCUUUUGUCGGGGAGCAAAAGCCGGACGUGUCCGGCUGUGAGAGUAACCGAAGAAAAAGCAUCUGCUAACUUCGUGCCAGCAGACGCGGUAAUACGGAGGAUGCGAGAGUUAUCAGGAUUUAUUGGGUUUAAAGGGUGCGCAGGCGGAUUUGUAAGUCAGCGGUCAACUCGUGGGGCUCAACCCCAUCCAGCCGUUGAAACUGGGGAUACAGAGUGUGCGAGAGGUAUGCGGAAUUAGUGGUGUAGCGGUGAAAUGCAGAGAUAUCACGCAGAAUCCAGAUUGCGAAGGCAGCAUACCGGUGCACAACUGACGCUCAGGCACGAAAGCGUGGGUAUCGAACAGGAUUAGAUACCCGAGUAGUC